rnacentral:lncRNA from 1 species
UCCUAGUAAGAGUGUGAUUCCUCCACUACUCAACUACCGAAGGACCACUUGCCGACCAUCGGAAUGUCGUCCUCGUCAUUGUUGGCACCGUUGUGUUCGGGGUGCCAUUGCAGGUGCGACACCCUCAUGGCACCCCAAGCCAGUUCAGUUGUUGUCUAUUUAGUCUGGGCCAAUGACAGCCCGACCUAUCCGGUCCUGUCCCCGGUUGGAUCAUCAACCCAGUUUCACACACCAGGC